AAAUUUGGAGGCUAUAUUGUAGCUUCCACAAACAAAAGGGUUAUGAUAUGGGACGUUAGUAGGAAAGUUUAGUCAAAUCUGCUCCUAUAUUCUAUUUUAUGUUUGCUUUUGGCAUCUUAUUUUCCCUCUCGCCACAUUGUUAUUUAUUGGUGAAUCAGUCCGAAUUGAAACCGAAAAAUAUGUAAUGAGUUUGAUCCAAAACAACAAUCUGUCUGCAUUUACUUCUGCCUUAUCAACUGCCAAUGCUCUUAAUUUGAAGCCAAUUCUCAUUAAAAUGGUUAGCAAUAAUGUUAAUAGGAGAAUAGUUCUGGAAGGAUUUAUGACUGAAUGUACAUUUAAAACCGAGAGUGUGAACUGUAAUUGAGCUUUAUUCAGAUUUGGGCACUUUUUAUUUAUCGCGGAUUCGGAACGAACUAUAAUUGAGCUUUAUUCAGUAGAAUAAAACAAGCGCAUUUUUGGAAACUGUGCAGCUGCAAGUUCUUUGCAAUUUAUCUGGUUGUGUUCAUAUAGUAGAGCGGACAAUCUGUGCUGCUGCAGUCUCAAGGUAGUGAGCGAUUAACAACACCAUGUUGCAUACAUGGUCCAUGGUUUUUCCAUUUUUAAAUGCAGAAGCAGGACUCAACAUUUUCAGCUUUGUUUUUGGUAAAACUUAUUGACAAGGUUGAUUAGAAAUUUUAUCCUUUUCUUUACAUGUCAAGACGACAUCUCUCACGGAGUAUUUCGUCCUACAGUCUUCUUCCUCGAGCUGGCUGUGUGGUUUAGUGGUCGUUAUUCAUUCCGUCGUCUUCUCUUCAGUUCAGUGUUUAGUCAUGUGUGGCUUGGUUUCUGCUUGAUCUUGGUUUUUAGGCUGUAGUAGAUGCACUACACACCUAAUGUCCUAAUGUGCAUAAUCAUUAAUGGUACAUAAUGUAUCCCCGUGGCAAUAUCAUCUGCUCAUUAAGAAGGCCACUAUCAUUGAUGGCAGCGCUGACCAGCAAGCUGCCUUUUGCCCUUGCCGUGGUCAAUGUUGGUUGUUUUCACACGGAUGGAUUUAGUGGCAUAUUGUGUGUGAACAUUGAAACUGAUUCUCAUGGCCUUUAAGUACAACUUCAUAGAGUAGUGUUACAGCAGAUGGACAGAGGUAAUUACGUUGGUUGGUGCUUUCAGAACGAUGGACAACUGUUGACUUGCAGGCCCUCACUGUCCCUGCAGCUAGAGUUUCAUAUCUCGUGCUGAGGUAUCACUGUCUCAUAUCCACUGCUUUUGCUUCUUCCCAUAGAAAAGAUAGGCUGCAAUUUAACUGUGCUAUUUAUUGUGAUCACUUAGUUGCAGAUUCCUUGCCACCUUCUUCAGGUGCAGGGAGUGUUCCCAGAUAUUGUUCUUCUGCUGAGUUGGUUGCUUUUAGGCAUUUCAUUAGCGGGGAUAGGUCAGUUGGGAUAGCGUUAGACUGAAGAUCUGAAGGUCACGUGUUCAACCCACGAUCACUGCAUUUUGACAUUUUUUAUUUUCUUGUUUACCACCAAUCUGCCAUUUUCAGUUUAGAAGUAGAUCAUCUGCCAUUUGCGAUUUAGAAGUAGAUCAUCGGCCUAGCAUGCUCCUUGGUUUCACUCAUGUUGCUUUGCAUAGUUAGUGCCGAGAUGAGAAAGUGUAAUUCUUUCUCACCUUCCCUCUCAGCUGAGUCUCCAUUUAACUGUACCAAUAGCAAACAUGACUAUUUUAUUGCAUAUGUGAGUAUUCAUCUACUUCUGGCAAAAGCAGUUUUGUAGACUUUCCUUCGUGCCACUAUUUCCGUGGUGGUGUAUGCAAUCUAACUGACCUAUCUUGCAGGUAACUAAGGAUAUACAUUGCCAAAGUUCCACAUGUAUCCUCUGUUCCCUGCUUUGGUUUGGAUACUUGCUUGCCACCUUUGUUGGAAAUUAGCUUCCUGGGUAGAUCGGUUUCAAAUAGCUAUAUUGAGGCUUCGUAAAUAUAAAUUUUGUGCAGGUUGAGUGGGAAACAAAAGAGCAUGUGCCAGCUCAAGCGACAAAGAGAAAUUGGGGCGGUAAGGGAGGAAAAUUGGGCACCCAAAGUAAGGGAAAAGAGAGGAAAGCGAGAGAUGAGCAAACCAGUCCACAGAAAUUGGUUGAGAGAGGAGCUCUCACCUUUCAAGCGGCAGCCAGCUUGAUCCUCUGCCGGAUCUGCACCAACAUCCUCCUCCGCCAGCUUCUUGUCUCGUCGGCCAGCCUCCUCCUCUCCAGCAUGGCACAACCCUCUCCCAGGAGGGUGGCAAGUGUCUGCCGCACAACUUGAGUAAGAGUGCCUGCUACGGCUGAUCCAGGAUACGCCCAAAGAGGAGAUCCAUAUUGUGUACAUACAAAUUAUUGCCAAGUGAAUUAAGUUUUAAUUUUUAGUGCAAGGAGUAAUGAGCACAAAUAUAUAUGUGAUCUUUGACAACAAUAUGCUUUUCUUAGUGAUAAAUUUAAAUUAGUGCUUAGACA